CCUAAGAUUAAAUCUACCGAAAAUGAUUUAAGCUGUGAUGUAGAGAGUAGAUACAUCCAUCCAUCCAUCUUCUAUAGCACUUUAUCCUUUUCAGGGUCACGGGGAACCUGGAGCCUAUCCCAGGGAGCAUCGGGCACAAGGCGGGGUACACCCUGGACAGGGUGCCAAUCCAUCACAGGGCACAAUCACAUACACAUUCAUACACUACAGACACUUUGGACAUGCCGAUCAGCCUACCAUGCAUGUCUUUGGACUGGGGGGAGGAAACCGGAGUACCCGGAGGAAACCCCCACAGCACGGGGAGAACAUGCAAACUCCACACACACAGAACCACGGGGGGAAUCGAACCCCCGACCCUGGAGGUGUGAGGCAAACGUGCUAACCAAUAAGCCACCGUACGCCCAAGUUGUUUCGUCCUGAUGGCCUGCACCCCAGCAGCCUCGGAGCGGAACUGCUGUCAGACAACAUCUCCAAGACGCUACACACCAAGUGACUGCCUACCGUAAGUACAUCUUCCAACAAUGACAACAUUCAUCAUAAGCAAUGUUUAAUUAAUAGUUCAACACUUGUAGUACAUACUAUAGAGACUGUGUCUGUUCCCCGAGCUAUACAAAUACAGAGAAAAUUUCUGAAUGUUUGUUGUAGUAACCUAAUUAACAUAAAAUUCGAUCAUACUGAAUGCACAUCCAGCUCCUUUAAUCUGAAGCUAGGACUAGUAAACAUUAGACCUCUUGCGUCUAAGGCUCUUAUUGUUAACGAAAUCAUUACUGAUCAGGAAUGUAAUUUAAUGUGUUUAACGGAAACUUGGAUUAAACCAAACGAGUACGUAACAUUAAAUGAAGCCAGUCCUCCUGGAUACAGUUAUAUACAUCAGCCUCGUUCAACUGGUAGAGGAGGAGGUGUUGGUCUCAUCCAUAGUCAAAAUCUAGGCGUCACACAAAGGCCUAGUCAUAAAUUUAAUUCUUUUGAAAUUCUUUAUACCGGUAUAACGUAUGUAGCCACAAAAAAUAAGUCAAUUCCUCUAAUUAUUAUUUACAGACCCCCAGGGCCAUAUACUGAAUUUCUUAGUGAAUUUGCAGACUUUAUCUCAAACCUGGUUGUGUCUGUAGAUAAAGCAUUAAUCGUCGGUGAUUUUAAUAUUCACUUUGAUAACCCAGAAGACCCUCUGAGAACAGCGGUUGUGUCCAUGUUAGAUUCAGUAGGGAUUAAUCAGAACGUAAUCGGACCUACUCAUAAUGGUGGUCACACUCUAGACCUCAUACUAACAUACGGAUUAAAUAUAGAAAAUAUUGUAAUUUUUCCCACAGUCUGAAUGUUGUCUCGGACCAUUAUCUUAUCUCGUUCAUAACACGUAUUGAUCAUAAUAUUUCCACCUCGCCUCGCGACCGCGUAAAACGUACUUUCACAUCAGCUACUGCACCGAGCUUCCUAACCGACCUCCCAGAGACAUCAGUUAGAUUUGGAUCACCGUCUGAUCCGAUAGAACUCGAUCAGGCGACUGAAUGCUUGGAGUCAACACUCGGAUAAACGCUAGAUAGAGUGGCUCCACUCGAAAGAAAAUUAAUUAGAGAGAAAAAGCUAGCGCCCUGGUAUUACGAUCAAACGCGAACCUUAAAACAGACCACUGGACAAUUAGAACGUAAAUGGCGUCAAACCAAAUUGUUAAUAUUUCAAACAGCAUGGAAGGAGAGUCUACUGAACUAUAGACAAUCUCUUAGCGAUGCUAGAAAUGUCUAUCUCUCCACCUUAAUAGGAGAUAACAAAAACAAUUCUAGAUUUCUAUUCAACACAGUAGCAAAACUAACUAGGAAUAAAACCAUUACAGAAAAAAGCACUCAAUCACAAUCAUUACAUAGCAGCGAAGAUUUCAUGAAAUUUUUCAUUGGUAAGAUUGAAAUUAUUAGAUGUGAAAUUCAGGCUAUUAAAUUAAAACCUGAUUUUAUAUUAUAACUAACCCUAUAGACGAUAAUAUAGCAAUAUCAGAUCAAUGUUUAGAAUGUUUUACUCCCCUUAGAGAGACCGAACUAGCUUCAUUAAUCUCUUCAGCAAAUUCAUCAACUUGCAUACUCGAUCCUGUACCUACAUGUUUCUUUAAACAGAUUUGUCCUGGAGUAAUUGAACCACUUUUAAAUAUAAUCAGUUCUUCCCUUGGCACUGGCUAUGUACCUAAAUCAUUUAAAUUAGCAGAUAUUAAACCCCUGAUUAUAAAACCUGACCUUGACCCAGCUCAACUGUCCAGCUAUAGACCAAUAUCAAAUCUCCCCUUCAUCUCUAAGAUCUUAGAAAAGGUUGUACACAGCAGCUACGCUCGUACUUACAUAGGAACAACAUUCAUGAAAUGUAUCAGUCAGGAUUUAGACCUCAUCAUAGCACAGAGACAGCGUUACUUAAAGUAGUAAACGACCUACUACUGGCCUCUGAUCAGGGUUGUGUCUCGCUGCUUGUGUUACUCGACCUUAGUGCAGCUUUUGAUACUAUAGAUCAUACUAUUCUCCUUGAUAGAUUAGAAAAUGUUGUUGGCAUUAAGGGAACGGUCCUCUCCUGGCUCACGUCUUAUCUGACCGAUCGUUAUCAGUUCGUAGAUGUAAAUGGAAACUUCUCCACGCAUACCGAGGUUAAAUUUGGUGUUCCACAAGGUUCUGUUUUAGGCCCACUGCUUUUUACUUUAUAUAUGCUACCUCUAGGUCAAAUUAUUCGUAAACAUGGAAUUAGCUUCUUCUGUUAUGCUGAUGAUACACAGUCGUAAGUUUCAGCGAAGCCAGAGGACAGACAGCAGCUUGGUAAAGUUGAGGAAUGUGUAAAGGACAUUAGAUGUUGGAUGCUAACUAACUUCCUUUUCUUUAAUUCUGAUAAGACAGAAGUACUUGUAUUAGGACCACGUGUAGCUAGAAGUAAUCUUUCUGAUCUCAUAGUUACUCUGGAUGGUCUUUCUGUUUCAUCAUGUUCAGGAGUAAAAGACCUUGGUGUGAUUAUUGACUCCAGCCUAUCAUUUGUUGCUCAUGUAGAUAAUAUUACUAGGAUAGCCUUCUUUCAUCUCAGAAAUAUUUCGAAGAUAAGAAAUAUUAGUUUCGUCACCUCUAGACUAGAUUACUGUAAUGCCUUACUGUCUGGAUGUUCCAGUAGGAGCAUAAACAAACUCCAGUUAGUCCAGAAUGCAGCUGCUAGAGUCCUAACUAGAACCAGAAGACACGACCACAUCACCCCGAUCUUAUCCACACUGCAUUGGCUCCCAGUGAAAUCUCGCAUUGAUUAUAAAAUACUAUUAUUAGCCUAUAAAGCACUAAACGGUCUCGCGCCACAGCAUCUAAGCGACCUUUUGGUUUUCUAUGAUCCGCCAAGCCUACUUAGAUCAAAAGAUGCAGGCUAUUUAAUGGUACCUCGAAUAGAGAAGGCUACAGCAGGGGGAAGAGCUUUCUCUUAUAGAGCCCCACAGUUAUGGAACAGUCUUCCUAUUAGUGUUCGGGACUCAGACACAGUCUCAGUGUUUAAGUCUAGGCUUAAAACGUAUUUGUUUACUCAAGCCUACCCUGACUAGACUUUCUGUUAUGCUAAGCACAGUCCUAAUAAUCUUUUCUCUCCCUCUCUCCUUCUGUCGAGCCACACAUGAUUUUAUGGAGAUACUAGAGAUCCUGAUCCUUUCCGCUCUCCGGACCUGCCUGAUCCGUUUCAGAUGUCCUACCUCUGGACGGCGCUCUCAUCUACUCCAAUUCCAGAUUGCUGGGACUACGGCUGCUUCUAAGCCCAAACAGACUUCAUAUAAAACCAUAAUGAACUUUUUCACACUAUCUCUUGUUACCCAGAUGAGGACGGGUUUCCUUCUGAGUCUGGUUCCUCUCAAGGUUUCUUCCUCUUAACAUCUUAGGGAGUUUUUCCUUGCCACCGUCACCACCGUCUCGCUCAAUAGGGAUAAAUUCGCACUCUUAAUAUCUGUAUACCGUGUUUAUAUAUUUCUGUAAAGCUGCUUUGAGACAAUGUCUAUUGUAAAAACGCUAUACAAAUAAAAUUUAAUUGAUUUAA